rnacentral:lncRNA from 1 species
AAUACUAGACUGUUCCGUAAGAAUGAAUUAAAAAAAUGUAUUAAUACUCAUGAUCUUUUGUUGCAUCUACAAAAUGAAGGAAUAUGCAUCUCAACCAACAAAGCACCAAAACCAAGUCAAAAUUUAAGAGUACAUACAUAUCAGCACUGAAUUGUCCAUGUGUUCUUACCAACAGUCUCAUAUGGAUGAAAGCAAAAGUAUCAAGAUCAAAGCGUUAAGAUCUCAUCUAUAUUAUUAAAAACUGUCUUCAUUGUCAAUCAACAAUCAAUAAUGAUAAUAAAUUUACCAAUUUAGUGAUUUUAGCUGUUGGUAAAAUUACCAAUUCAGAUCUAGUUAUCAACUAAUGAGAAGGCUCAUAAAAAGAGUAUACAGAGUUAGUAUACGUAAUGCUAUCUUUACUGGUAGAUCUAUUCCAUAUAAUGUAAGUAUGAGUCUUGGAUAAAAGCAAUCAACAAAUAGUAAUUUAGAUAUAGUUACCAAUUGAUGAAUAGGUUCUUGAAAAGAGCAUAUAAAGCUAGUAUAUUUAAUGCGAUCUGAACUUGUAGAUCUAUUUCACAUAAUGCAAGCAUGUGCGUGGACCAAAAGCAAUCAACAAAUACUCAAAACCUCAGAUCUAGAUGCCAACUGAUGAAUAGGUUCUUGAAAAGCGCAUAUAAAGGUAGUACGUUUAAUGCAAUCUACUUGUAGAUCUAUUCCACACAAUGCAAGGGUUCUACCAGAUCCAUCCAUUGAAGACGGAUCUAUAGAAAUCUCAGUGAAAAACCGAACGAAACAACACUCGAUCAAUCCAAACACCAUUCUCCCCGAUCCAUCAGAUCUACCUUACCGACCACAUCCGACCAAAACGCAGAAAUCAAUUAGAACUGUUUUCGGAGGCCAAAUUGUUAUCAAGAUCUGAUUUUUCGAUUGAAACCGAUCUUAAGAGAAAAAUUAAGACAUAGGACGAACAAUAUCAGCAUUCAUUACCUGAGCGGCUACGAGGCCACUGAUGUGAGCCAUAUCGCAGAGCAACAAGGCCCCGCACUUGUCGGCGAUAGAUCUGAACCUUGCGUAGUCCCAAUCCCUAGGGUAGGCACUGCCACCGCAGAUGAUGAGCUUGGGGCGAAAGUCGAGGGCUUUCUCCUCGAGCUUGUCGUAGUCGAUGUACCCGGUCACGGGGCUGACCUUGUAGGGGAGGCUCUCGAAGUAAAUGGAGGUGGCGGAGAUCUUCUUGCCACCGGAGGUGUAGUAGCCGUGAGUGAGGUGUCCGCCGGAGGGAAGGUCGAGGCCCAUGAUGCGGUCAUGGGGGUUGAGGACGGCGGUGUAGGCGGCGAAAUUGGCAGGACUGCCAGAGUAUGGCUGGACGUUGACGCCCCACUUGGCGGGGUCGAGUUGGUAGGCGGCGAGGGCGCGGGAACGGCAGAGGUUCUCGAUGGCGUCGAUGUGCUCGUUGCCGCCGUAGUAGCGGUUGCCAGGCAUGCCCUCGGAGUACUUGUUAGUGAGAGCGCUGCCGAGGGCCUCGAUGACGGCGAAGGAGGUGAAGUUCUCGGAGGCGAUGAGCUCGAUGCCGUGAGACUGGCGCCGCUUCUCGUGUUCGAUGAGGUCGUGGAUCUCCGGGUCGACGGCGGAGAGCGGCGAGAGUCCCCAUUCGCUCACGGACUCCAUGGGUACUGCAGCCGGGGCCGGAAUGGGAAAGCGAAGAUGCUGGACGGGGAGAGGGAAAGGGGUAGAAGGACGAUGAGGAAGAAGUCUUCCGAGGGGUAGGGGAGAAUGGCG